AUUGUGUUGCAAUGCUAAUUCAACCUAAUACGAGAGGAACAGUUGAUUCACAUAAUUGGUCAUCGCGCUUGGCUGAAUAGCCAGUGGCGCAAAGCUACCGUGUGGUGGAUUAUGACUGAACGGCUCUAAGUCAGAAUCCGGACCAGAAUCGAUGUGUUAUCCACUGCUCAUUUGCCGACCAGCAGUAGGGGCCCUCCAGCCCCCAAAAGCAUAUGCCGUUGGCUAAGCCCUCACGAUGGACGAGCUGCGCGAGCCGCCUUGAAUUACAAUUUCCAUCGGGCGAUGGACUGAAUCCUUUGCAGACGAUUUAAAUACGCGAUGGGAUAUUGUAAGUGGCCGAGUGGCCUUGCUGCCAUGAUCCACUAAGAUUCAGCCCUUUGUCGCUCUUAUUC
rnacentral:ncRNA from 1 species